rnacentral:miRNA from 1 species
UGGGGAUUCUAAGCACUUACUCCAUCUGCUUCCUUGAGAUGCAGGCAGGGCUAGUGUAUGUGUUACAUCUUUUUGCACUUUGUACUCUGAAAACGGAUCCGUUGCUGCCUGAAGCUUGCUGCCUC